AAUAUUUGUUAGGUAGUGAGAUAAGAAUAUCACGUGAUUCUCCCUUGCCCUCAUUUCACACCGUUACUUGCAUUUCCUGCUAUUGCACUAUGUUCUUUCUUUUUCUUUCUUUUUCUUGUUCUUUCUUUUUUUCUUUACUUUUGAUAUUUUUGGUUCCUCUUGAUUUGGGUUAUCGUUUUAUUUAAUUUUGGUGGUGGUCGUCAGUAGGGUUUGAUAAUUUGGUUUUUUCGUAAGUUUGUUCAAUAUUUAUUUUUCCUACGAGUGAAGUCUUUCAUUUUGUUAUUUUUUUUAUCUUACUAAAUUGGGUUUAAGUAAAGCGUUUUUCGAUAUUGAUCGUUUGGAUUAUUUAGGUGAAGGUCAUGGAUCGAUCAAUGCUUGGGGUGUUGUUGUUUUCGUUCAAAGGUAAGUUUUGGUACUGAUUUGAGGGUUGUGGUGUUUGUGUGGUAUUCAAUUGAGGUUUCGUUUGGUACU
rnacentral:lncRNA from 1 species